rnacentral:rRNA from 1 species
AUUGAACGCUGGCGGCAUGCCUUACACAUGCAAGUCGAACGGCAGCACGGGAGCAAUCCUGGUGGCGAGUGGCGAACGGGUGAGUAAAGUAUCGGAACGUGCCAGUCGUGGGGGAUAACGUAGCGAAAGUUACGCUAAUACCGCAUACGAUCUAUGGAUGAAAGCGGGGGAUCGCAAGACCUCGCGCGAUUGGAGCGGCCGAAAUCGGAUUAGGUAGUUGGUGGGGUAAAGGCGCACCAAGCCGACAUUCUGUAGCUGGUCGGAGAGGACGACCAGCCACACUGGGACUGAGACACGGCCCAGACUCCUACGGGAGGCAGCAGUGGGGAAUUUUGGACAAUGGGCGCAAGCCUGAUCCAGCAAUGCCGCGUGCAGGAUGAAGGCCUUCGGGUUGUAAACUGCUUUUGUACGGAACGAAAAGGUUUGGCUUAAUACGUUGAACACAUGACGGUACCGUAAGAAUAAGCACCGGCUAACUACGUGCCAGCAGCCGCCGUAA